rnacentral:rRNA from 1 species
AACGCGACCUCAGCUUCAGGCGGGGCUACCCGCUGAGUUUAAGCAUAUCAAUAAGCGGA